GUCGAGCGGGCGUAUGUCAUAUCGUCAGCGGCAGACGGGUGAGUAACGCGUGGGAACGUACCUUUUGGUUCGGAACAACUGAGGGAAACUUGUGCUAAUACCGGAUAAGCCCUUACGGGGAAAGAUUUAUCGCCGAAAGAUCGGCCCGCGUCUGAUUAGCUAGUUGGUGAGGUAACGGCCCACCAAGGCGACGAUCAGUAGCUGGUCUGAGAGGAUGAUCAGCCACAUUGGGACUGAGACACGGCCCAAACUCCUACGGGAGGCAGCAGUGGGGAAUAUUGGACAAUGGGGGCAACCCUGAUCCAGCCAUGCCGCGUGAGUGAUGAAGGCCCUAGGGUUGUAAAGCUCUUUUGUGCGGGAAGAUAAUGACGGUACCGCAAGAAUAAGCCCCGGCUAACUUCGUGCCAGCAGCCGCGGUAAUACGAAGGGGGCUAGCGUUGCUCGGAAUCACUGGGCGUAAAGGGUGCGUAGGCGGGUCUUUAAGUCAGGGGUGAAAUCCUGGAGCUCAACUCCAGAACUGCCUUUGAUACUGAAGAUCUUGAGUUCGGGAGAGGUGAGUGGAACUGCGAGUGUAGAGGUGAAAUUCGUAGAUAUUCGCAAGAACACCAGUGGCGAAGGCGGCUCACUGGCCCGAUACUGACGCUGAGGCACGAAAGCGUGGGGAGCAAACAGGAUUAGAUACCCUGGUAGUCCACGCCGUAAACGAUGAAUGCCAGCCGUUAGUGGGUUUACUCACUAGUGGCGCAGCUAACGCUUUAAGCAUUCCGCCUGGGGAGUACGGUCGCAAGAUUAAAACUCAAAGGAAUUGACGGGGGCCCGCACAAGCGGUGGAGCAUGUGGUUUAAUUUGACGCAACGCGCAGAACCUUACCAGCCCUUGACAUCUCCAUCGCCGGUUCCAGAGAGGUAUCUUUUUAUUUGGAGCGCCCCGGACACAUGUUGCACAUGUGUGUUCUCAUCUUGUGUUGAGAGAUUGGGGUAAAUCUCGCACAGAGAGCGCCACCCCUCUCCUUAUGUUCUCCCUUUUAUGAGCACUCUAAAAAGAGACCCGCGGAUAAAACCCGAGAGGGGGGGGGGGAUCGUCUCAUCUCCUCGGCCCCCUCGCGGGGUGGGACACACGCGUUACACUAUGGGGGUCACUAGGAUAUUAUAAGGGGACCCCUUUCAAAUAUUUCAAAAAGCUCUCUCAUUUGGGUGGGGUCUGCACCUCUAGACCCCAAGAUGUUGGUCUCUAUAGUUAUUGUGGAACCACACCCCGCGGAAAAUGCGUUCCCGCCCCGUGUACACCCCCCCCCUCACCCCAUGGGAUUUGGUUUCCCGAAAAGGGUGUGCUAUACACCAAAGGAGGCAGCCGGCCACGGUAGGGUCAGCGACUGGGG
rnacentral:rRNA from 1 species